GCUGACUGAGCUACCCACGUGCCCCUCCAAUACAUGAAAAUUUAAGUUUCAGAAUUUAUGAAGUUGAAACUCAGAUCGAUCUACCUUAUUUCAAGAUGGUGACACUUGAGAAGUCUUCAUGAACAAGCCCCCUGUCAGUAGACUAAGUUUCUUGGAGGAUUCCUUUCUUUCCUAUGUAGUCGCUCCUCCAUGCCUGGCCAGUAACAGGCACUCAAUAUUUGCCAAAGGGAAGAAGAAUCAUCACUGGGAACCAGUCAGAAAAGAGAUUAUCAGAAAUUUAAGGUGAGAAAAUAAAUCUUACAUAAUGGCAUUGAUCCAGAUGUUAGAAGAAAAUAAUGAAAUUUGUCUGUCUAUAUAAAUAGUACAAAGCAAAUAUGUGACUAAAAAGUUCGGCACCCAUACUAAACCCACGCAGGAGUGAACGGAGUCCCAGCCCUCCAGGAGCUGACAGCUGGGGAUACGCACACAGGUAGCCACAACAAGGUGGAACACAGGAAAGCAGGGCGCCGCACUUGUCCCUGGCCUACCUCUGGGAACAUCAGAGGCUCUGUGAAGGAAGGUCGUGCCUGAGAUGGGCUUUAAAGUAUGAGCAAAAUUCCAACCAGCAGAUGUGGGCAGUUAGACACGAAGGAGCACCUCGAGAAGAGCGGGGAAGCAGGCCGUUUCUAGGGAAGCAGGCGGUUUCUGGGGAAGCAGUGAGUGGGCUGGCUGGAGCACUGAUGAAGCACAACACAGGAACCGGGAGCCACGCGGGCAGGUGGAAAGAGCUCAGAUCACAGGAGGGUCUGAGCCUCAAUACAGAGCCUGGAUUAAUGGUUUGUUCAAGAUGUUGGCAGGAAUGACUGACCUGAGGGGCCCACAGGCGGCACGACAUGGUGUGCAGGAUGAGUUCCACCAGUGAAGUGACAGGUGUGGGAGGCCGGUCACAAUGCAGAUGCGACUCUGACUGCCCAGACACAGUGGUAAACACAUGAUAAUCUGGUUUCACAACCACCAAUGCGUUUGCACAAGCGCCUGUUAGGCCUAGUGGCUCCACUUGACAAAACGGGAAGCAACCCAAGCCUCUGUGGGCAGACCAAAUGGACGGUCCACAGAAUAUUACGCAGCCUUUAACAAGGAGGGAAACUGACACAACAUGACAACAUGGAUGUACCCUGAAGACCUUAGGCUGAGAUAAGCCAGCCUAAAACCCGUACAAUGGAAGAAAAUAAAUAUUUUAAACUAAGGAUUUUAAAAGGAUGACUGGUUUUACUUGUAAUGUGGUCAAUUUUGAACCUAAGUAUUCCCUGGUCAAUUUGAGGUCCUUGAGAACAAGGUGUACUGCUGGUUUUGAGCGUCUCUGGGCAGAAACCCUGCCGCUCCCACUCCCACAGUGGCUGGAAAACAGAGCAGAGGCGCUGUGCUAUGGGAUCUGACCUGGGAGUGAACUGCAGGCAGGCACACCCCCGAGGCAUUCUUACACAAAGAAACUGAACUUUGCCUUCAACUCCGCACUUCCCUCUUGAGAAAGUUACUGGUUACUUGUCCCCUGAUGUCGCCUACUCAGCAACUCUGUCUCUUUCCAUACAAAAUGAGUAACAAAACCCUGCGCAGGCCAAAUGAGAUAGCUCUGUGAAAGGGCCCAGCAAGGGCAGGCACCCGACAAGUCGGUCCCUGUCCCACCAGGUACGCCAGGAUAGGGAUUGUCAUCCCCCAAAUCUCAAGUCACAGCCGAAUCUCACUCACAGACUUCCACUGUCGUAAAACAGCAGCUCGGCUUUCUUAUGUUGGCUCUAAGUAAACACGCUGGAGCCCCGACUCAGGGUAAGAUCUGAAGGUUUUCAUUUUAAACCCGCACACCGACUCCAGUCUUGCAGCAGGAUCACUGAGAAAAGGUCUAGGGAUUUAAUGCCACCAAGAUUUUUAAAUAAAUCAGUCCCUCACUGAAGUUUCAAAGGUUGUGAUGACUCAAAAUACACAAGAGGAAACACACUCCCAGUACCUAGCAGAAGCCAAGUUCAGGCCAGGCAGUUCAAACACCUCAACAAAAUUAGCCGAUUCAUACGCCAACUUCUAAUGGUUAAAAAUAUGUAAUUGUUACUGUACAAAAAAAAUUACAAUUAUUACUCUAUCAAAGACAUAGUCUUCUAAGUCAAAAAAGAUUUCUCUAAGCAAAACGGACAGGAAAUUAAGCCUUUCUGCCAGUUUACAAAAGCCUAGAGGAGGCCAACAAGAUGGCAGAUUUUUAUAAGGCAUGUGCCUCAUGUG